CUUCCUAUGGCAUUGCCUAAUUCAAAAGGAGACACAAUACUUUCUCUUGUGUUCCCACUUGCCACUUACUCCUACACAGCUUUAGGAUAAGGAAUAGGGACAGAAUGAACAGAUCACUGGGGAGUGAGUGGAAGCUCACUGGCUUCCUUAGCAACACUUUAUGAAAAUAGAAUAUUUAACCUCAUUCUUAUUUUAUCACAGAAGCCCUAUAUUUCAUUUCCUAAUUUAUACAUUUGUAAAUCUUUAUGUAGUUUUUGUUUACUUGUUGUUUUUAAGAGAAAAGACAUUUAAAGUUUCAUUUGUUUGUCCUGUACUGAUAAAAAAUUUGAAUGAGAUUCUUACAUGUUGAAUUUUUUUAGACAAAACAUUUUUUCCCAAAGAUGAUUGUAAUCCU
rnacentral:lncRNA from 1 species